rnacentral:rRNA from 1 species
CCUACGGGAGGCAGCAGUGGGGAAUAUUGGACAAUGGGGGGAACCCUGAUCCAGCGACGCCGCGUGAGUGAAGAAGUAUUUCGGUAUGUAAAGCUCUAUCAGCAGGGAAGAAAGAAAUGACGGUACCUGACUAAGAAGCCCCGGCUAACUACGUGCCAGCAGCCGCGGUAAUACGGAGGGGGCAAGCGUUAUCCGGAUUUGCUGGGUGUAAAGGGAGCGUAGACGGGGAUGCAAGUCUGAAGUGAAAGGCGGGGGCCCAACCCCCGGACUGCUUUGGAAACUGUAUGGCUGGAGUGCAGGAGAGGUAAGUGGAAUUCCUAGUGUAGCGGUGAAAUGCGUAGAUAUUAGGAGGAAGACCAGUGGCGAAGGCGGCUUACUGGACUGUAACUGACGUUGAGGCUCGAAAGCGUGGGGAGCAAACAGGAUUAGAUACCCGGGUAGUC